CUCUCAAUGACCAUAGAUGGAGAAAACAAGGUAUUCCAUUGAAAGACUCCCGAAGGGAGACCCUCACUCAAGCCUCGGGACAGCCGCGGACCCAAGAAGACACUGAGACUG
rnacentral:pre_miRNA from 7 species